GUGCUCGCUUCGGCAGCACAUAUACUAAAAUUGGAACGAUACAGAAAAGAUUAGCAUAGCCCCUACCCAAGGAUGAUACACAGAUUUGUGAAGCAUUCCAUGUUUUU
rnacentral:snRNA from 1 species